rnacentral:lncRNA from 1 species
GAAUAACGUUUUUGGCUGAACGUGUUGCAAAGACCUGGCAACAGUGGCCCAGCGGCAAGGUAACUAAUUAAACGUCCCCCAGCAUGAACGCUCUAUUCCACAAUAAACUUUGCGUCGGCCGCUGCGACGCGACGCAUCCCCAGCAGCCGGGGACACGAAGGCAAGGCGGCCGGACCAGUUUCCACGCACACAGCCACGCCCUCCCGACAGACACGCGCAAACACAUCCGCAGGUGAGAGCGGCGCUGGGACACGUCCCCAAAGCAGAGUGGUGCGGGGCGAGGGUAGGAAGCAUGAUCGGAGGGCUUCGCACGUGAACGGCGGCAGCGAUGGGUGGACAGCUGGAGUCGGCCAUCGCGCUCUGCCUGUGCAAGGCCAUGUUCAGCGCGCUCUGCCUGCCUGCACUCCGAGGCUCGCUCAGCUCGGUCAGUUUCUGCUGCGGAUGCCUGCUGCUCUUCACCGACCUGGCGGUCACACUGUUCCUGGCCUUCCUCUGGUUGGCUGAGCCAUGGCUGGUGCAGUUUUUCAUAUCUGCAGAUGCACUCGCCCUAUGCUUCCUCCUUUUCCUCACCCAGACCUACGGGUCCAUGCUGCUGCUGACCACACCUCUGGUCACUGUGGAGAUGUCGUUCUGUUUACAGUGGCCCUUUUCCCACAGAACGGAUAGGGUGGAUGAAGAGGAGGGCGAACGAGGGAACGAGGAGGAGUGGGGUAGCUCCGCACUCCACGUCUGCUGCCUCUUCUGCUGUCUGGCGGUGUGGUGCAUCUACGGCCUUCGUGCCAGGGAUGACUGGAGGUUGGACGAGGUCCUGGUGGAGGCCUGCCUGGAGAGAAAUGGCUCGCUCUAUCUGUGCCUCCCCAGCCUGCUCACUGCUACCCUGCCCGCCUUCAGCGAGCCCUGCUGGGGCUUACCUGCCGCAGCCAACCUGCUGGGACUGACCGGGAGCCUGGCGCUGCUGCGAGUCUGGCUGAAUCACCGGCACACCCUGCAUGGUAAUGCAAGGAACACCCUGGUGACAUGCGUGGCCACCAACCCAACUAGGCCCAUGUCGCCUGACGCCAGCGUUGACUGGUCCCCCAAGCGCCACCUUCACACUGCAGCGCUGACUGGGAAUGUCCCGGGUCCCCAUGGAAACAUGCUUUCGCCCCACCUGUUCACAUUAGGCGACAGGUGCGAAUCAGCAAAGCAGGUCAAGAGGCCACAAACCCAAAUGAGAUGUAAAGUUCCCCCGGAGCAGCAGCAGCAUCAGCAUCAGUACUGGAUGCGGAGCAGCCUGUUGACGGGGGGAAAUCCCAGCCCGGGAGGACGAGCCACUGCAGGGCUGCUCUGUGGGAUUCUGGUCUGUCUCUUCCCUUUGGUCCUCAGUGUUAAUGUCUUACUGAUCAAACACAUAGAGAUUCUGGUGUUGUGUUGUCUCAAAGUCCUGCUACCCAUGUCACAAAGCAAAUAUGCAGCAGUGUCAACAUGACAGAGGAAAUACUGUGUGUGUGUGUGUGUGUGUGUGUGGCGGUUCAAGGCGAAUUAUUAACAUAAAUAAAGGCAGCUGGAUAAACUGUCUGUCA